GAACAGUCUAAUGCAGUCUUUAAUAAUAGGCUACAGAGUUUGGAUUUCAUCCUUUAGAGUCUAAAGUUUAGAUAUAAUUGUUUCUCCUUUCCACCACAGAUCACUUAGGAAAAUGGCUGUUGGUAUGAUCCUAGCAUGCCUGGCAUUUGCAGUUGCGGCAGCUGUAGAGAUAAAAAUAAAUGAAAUGGCCCCAGCCCAGCCAGGUCCCCAGGAGGUUUUCCUACAAGUCUUGAAUCUGGCAGAUGAUGAGGUGAAGGUGACAGUGGUGGGAAAUGAAAACAAUUCUCUGUUGAUAGAGU
rnacentral:lncRNA from 10 species